rnacentral:lncRNA from 1 species
AAGUUUUGUAAAGUACAAAACUUUCCUGAGAUUUUGUGCAUCCACCUUAAAAGAUUCAGACAUGAACUAAUGUUUUCCACCAAAAUCAGUACCCAUGUUUCAUUUCCGCUAGAAGGCUUGGAUCUUCAGCCAUUUCUUGCUAAGGAUAGUCCAGCUCAAAUUGUGACAUAUGAUCUUCUGUCAGUCAUUUGCCAUCAUGGAACUGCAAGUAGUGGACACUAUAUAGCCUACUGCCGAAACAAUCUAAAUAAUCUCUGGUAUGAAUUUGAUGAUCAGAGUGUCACUGAAGUUUCAGAAUCUACUGUACAAAAUGCAGAAGCUUACGUUCUUUUCUAUAGGAAGAGCAGCGAAGAGGCACAAAAAGAGAGGAGAAGGAUAUCAAAUUUAUUGAACAUAAUGGAACCAAGCCUCCUUCAGUUUUAUAUUUCUCGACAGUGGCUUAAUAAAUUUAAGACCUUUGCCGAACCUGGCCCUAUUUCAAAUAAUGACUUUCUUUGUAUUCAUGGAGGUGUUCCUCCAAGAAAAGCUGGUUAUAUUGAAGACCUGGUUUUGAUGCUGCCUCAGAACAUUUGGGAUAACCUAUAUAGCAGGUAUGGUGGAGGACCAGCUGUCAACCAUCUGUACAUUUGUCAUACUUGCCAAAUUGAGGCGGAG